rnacentral:Y_RNA from 10 species
GGCUGGUCUGAUGGUAGUGGGUUAUCAGAACUUAUUAUUAAUAACAUUAGUGUCACUAAAGUUGGUGUACAAGCCCCUAUUGCUAAAUUUGGCUUAAA